GACGAACGCUGGCGGCGUGCUUAACACAUGCAAGUCGAACGAUGAACCCGGAGCUUGCUCCGGUGGAUUAGUGGCGAACGGGUGAGUAACACGUGAGUAACCUGCCCUUGACUCUGGGAUAACUGCGGGAAACUGUAGCUAAUACCGGAUACGACCCUCGGCGGCAUCGCCAGGGGGUGGAAAGAAUUUCGGUCAAGGAUGGACUCGCGGCCUAUCAGCUAGUUGGUGCGGUAACGGCUCACCAAGGCGACGACGGGGAGCCGGCCUGAGAGGGUAACCGGGCACACUGGGGAUGAGACAAGGGCCAGACUCCUACGGGAGGCAGCAGUGGGGAAUAUUGCACAAUGGGAGCAAGCCUGAUGCAGCAACGCCGCGUGAGGGAUGACGGACUUCGGGUUGUGAACCUCUUUUAGUAGGGAAGAAGCGAAAGUGACGGUACCUGCAGAAAAAGCACCGGCUAACUACGUGCCAGCGGCAGCGGUAA
rnacentral:rRNA from 1 species